AUAUUUAGGAAGAUUCUCUAAGAUUUGACAGUGCCUCUAUAUAAUACCACCACAACUACUCAUAUAUAAUGAGAAAUAUCAGCGAUUAGGAAUAUAGUGCAAUAGGAGGAAAAAGAAAUAGGAAACCACUUCUCAUGGCACUUAUCAAGAACAACACAAGUGCCAUGUGCUUGGUAAUUCUCCUGAUGUCUACCACUUUGUUGCCAUGCCAGGCGACUGGGAGAAACAAAGGUACCACUUCACUGAUAGAUGUGUGUGCAAAAUCUCGGUUAUGCGAGGACGAUACGGCGAUCAAUAUUAUUUGGUGCAAGACUAAUUGUCAAAUUUCUGGCUACAGUUUCGAAAGAAGCUACUGUGAGAAGAAUAAUUGCUGCUGCGCAUCCUAAGCGAUUAAAUGAUUUGCCAAAAUGCCGUGCUUGUAACAUGUGGUGAACUUCAAUAAACAAUACAUGUUGAUUUUGGAA